UGCAAGUCGAGGGGUAACGAUGUCUUCGGACAGGCGACGACCGGCGCACGGGUGAGUAUCGCGUUUGUAACCUACCUUUAACUGGAGAAUAGCCCGAAGAAAUUCGGAUUAAUACUCCAUAACACUAUGAACUGGCAUCUUUUUAUAGUUAAAGCUCCGGCGGUUAAAGAUGGGCAUGCGUAACAUUAGAUAGUUGGUGAGGUAACGGCUCACCAAGUCUACGAUGUUUAGGGGGUCUGAGAGGAUGGUCCCCCACACUGGUACUGAGACACGGACCAGACUCCUACGGGAGGCAGCAGUGAGGAAUAUUGGUCAAUGGGCGCAAGCCUGAACCAGCCAUGCCGCGUGAAGGAUGACAGCGCUACGCGUUGUAAACUUCUUUUGUACAGGAAGAAACGCUUCUACGUGUAGAAGUCUGACGGUACUGUACGAAUAAGCACCGGCUAACUCCGUGCCAGCAGCCGCGGUAAUACG
rnacentral:rRNA from 1 species